rnacentral:tRNA from 1 species
GAGGGGAUGGCCCAGUGGUAGAGCGCAUGCUUAGCAUGCACAAGGUCCUGGGUUCAAUCCCCAGCACCUGCA